AACACAUGCAAGUCGAACGAGGUCCAUGUAGUGGCAACACUGCGGAAGACCUAGUGGCGAACGGGUGAGUAACACGUGAGGAACUUGCCCCGGAGACCGGGAUAAGCCCCCGAAAGGGGGUCUAAUACCGGAUGUCCUCACCGAGCCGCAUGGUUUGGUGAGGAAAUGGAUUCCGCUCCGGGAGAGCCUCGCGGCCUAUCAGCUAGUUGGUGGGGUAACGGCCCACCAAGGCGUCGACGGGUAGCUGGUCUGAGAGGACGAUCAGCCACACUGGGACUGAGACACGGCCCAGACUCCUACGGGAGGCAGCAGUGGGGAAUCUUGCGCAAUGGGCGAAAGCCUGACGCAGCAACGCCGCGUGCGGGAUGACGGCCCUCGGGUUGUAAACCGCUUUCAGUGGGGACGAACCAAGACGGUACCCACAGAAGAAG
rnacentral:rRNA from 1 species